GAGUCAGCUCUACAUGGCCGCACUGCUGCUUCUCCUGCGUUCGCUGCUUCUCGUGCCGGCAGUCACCAACCCAGCAGUUUGAGCGCACAAAGCCCCAGCCUGCCACCCGCUGCGUCUGUGCUUCAGCUUCUGCCGCCUGUGGGUCCCACGUGCCGGGGACUUUUCCUGCCCCCACACGCCGCUUCACUCCACGUGUGACCUGCUCCGGGGCUUUGCACGAUGAUGAUAACAUUUGAAGACCUCGCUGUGUACUUUACCUGGGAAGAAUGGCAGAAUAUGAACAAAGCUCAGAAAAUCCUGUACAAGGAUGUGAUGCUAGAAACUUUCAGCAGUCUGUUCUCCUUGGGAAAAUGCAUUAGCAAACCUGACUUGAUCUUCAAGUUGGAGCAAGGUGCAGAGCCAUGGAUGAUGGAAGAAUGUCUAAAUCAGAGCCUUCCAGUUUCCAUGAAAAGGGGUGACCUGCCUAGGAUCAACCAGGAAAGUCAGGACAAAAAUAUGAAUCAGAAUGUAAUGAAAAAUAAUAAGACAUCAACUCCCAAGAGAGCUGAAUUAAGAAAAACACUUAAUUUAAGUUCAAGCCAUAUUCCAAAACUGAUUAUUGAAAAGAGAAAUAGUGAGCAUGGAAAAGCUACAUUCCAUAAAUCAUACCUCAUCAUACAUCAGAAAAUUCACACAGAGGUUAAACCUCAUAAAUGUGAUGACUGUGGAAAAGCCUUUGGCCAGAAGAAAAACCUCAUAAUGCAUCAGAGAAUCCACACAGGUGAGAAACCUUAUGAAUGUAAUGAAUGUGGAAAAGCCUUUGCUUAUAAGUCCGAAGUCAUCAGACAUCAGAGAAUUCACACAGGGGAGAAACCUUAUGAAUGUAAUGACUGUGGAAAAGCCUUUGGCCGGAAGACAAACCUCAUAAUGCAUCAGAGAAUUCACACAGGGGAGAAACGUUAUGAAUGUAAUGAGUGUGGAAAAGCCUUUGCUUAUAAGUCGGAAGUCAUCAGACAUCAGAGAAUUCACACAGGGGAGAAACCUUAUGGAUGUAAUGACUGUGGAAAAGCCUUUGCUAAUAAGUCACAACUCAUCAAUCAUCAGAAAAUUCACACAGGGGAGAAACCUUAUGGAUGUAAUGACUGUGGAAAAGCCUUUGCUAGUAAGUCAGAAGUCAUCAUACAUCAGAAAAUUCACACAGAGGUUAAACCUCAUAAAUGUGAUGACUGUGGAAAAGCCUUUGGCCAGAAGAAAAACCUCAUAAUGCAGCAGAGAAUCCACACAGGUGAGAAACCUUAUGAAUGUAAUGUCUGUGGAAAAGUCUUUGUCCAGAAGUCACACGUCAUCAGACAUCAGAGUAUCCACACAGGGGAGAAACCUUAUGAAUGUAAUGACUGUGGAAAAGCCUUUGCUAGUAAGUCAGAAGUCAACAGACAUCAGAGAAUCCACACAGGUGAGAAACCUUAUGAAUGUACUGACUGUGGAAAAGCCUUUGCUAAUAAGUCACACCUCAUCAGACCUUAUGGAUGUAAAGAGUGUGGAAAAGCCUUUGCUAAUAAGUCACACCUCAUCAGGCAUCAGAGAAUCCACACAGGGGAGAAACCUCAUGAAUGUAAUGAGUGUGGAAAAGCCUUUGUCCAAAAGUCACAAGUCAUCAGACAUCAGAGAAUCCACACAGGGGAGAAACCGUAUGAAUGUAAUGACUGUGGAAAAGCAUAUGGCCAUAAAUCAGACCUCAGAACACAUCAGAGAAUUCACACAGAGGAGAAUCCUUAUGAAUGUCAUGACUGUGGAAAAGGCUUUGCAGCUAAGUCGGACCUCAUCAAACAUCAGAGAAUUCACACAGGUGAGGAAUCUUAUGAAGAUGACUGGAAAACCCUUGGCCAGAAAUCAAAACUUAGAAUGCAUUAGAGAAUUCACACAGGGGAUAAACCUUAUAAAUGUAAUUCCUGUGGGAAAGCCUUUGGCUAGAAGUCACAACUCAUAAUGCAUUGGAGAAUUCCCCCAAGGGAGAAACCUUAUGAAUGAGAUGAUUGUGAAAAAGCCUUUGGCCAGAAAUCAAACCUCAUAAUGCAUCUGAAUAUUCAGAUAGGGGAGUAUUCUUCUAUAUGUAAUGACUAUGUAAAACCCGUUGACUGUAAGUCAGAAUUCUUCAUCACAGAAUUCAUACAUGGGUUGUUGCAGUUGAUUUCUCAACAAUGUUGCAGUAGAUUCAUUUCUGAGAGGAGGUGCGUGGUGGGGGCAAGAGGUGUGGGGUCACCACACAGACCCCGGGCAUCAGAUGAAAGCAGGCUUGAGGCAAGCAGCCCACAGACUCAUUUAUUUCAGUUGGUACAACAGCUUAUAUAGCCAAGACCAGCCUGUCCUGUCAAUGGGCGCUGUAUGCCCCAACCAAUCACAGCCUGUUGCCAGGCCAACUCCAUUGCCAGAAAACAGAAACUCAUUCAUCCUGUAAAAGAGAUUGGAGCACUAGUCCUGUGUUCCCCACCUCUGUAUACUGUAGCAUGGACCUUGAAGUUCGAUCAUGAAGUUUGCAGGGAUACGGACAGUUUCACCACUAGAUCUGCUCUGCAUAAAAGGGAUCUUUGUGGUUGUACAGCAGGAACCCAGACUGGAAGCCAAAGCCAUAAAGAAAGAUCUCUGGGAAGGCUGAUUGUCUGGUAGGAUCACAUUGUGCUGGGUAUGUGUUAGAAUAGUGUACUUUGGCCCUUAAGUCUACAAGUAUUGCAUGCUACUCCCAAAUUUAAAAAUAUUCUUCAAUUUCUUAAAUCUAUGAUUUUUAAGCUUUGUUUUAGAGAUCUUUUGUCUCCUUGGUUACAUUUAUUCUUGGGCAUUCUUUUUCUUUAUUGUAGCUAUUCAGCAUGGAAUUGCUCUCUAGGUUUCUUUUCCAGAUGAUUCACUAUCAGUAUAUAACAGUGCUACUGGUUUUGUACAUCGACCUUUUUGCAGCUUUGCACAAUGUCUUAGUUCUAUCAGGUUUUUGGUUGAACCUUAGGGGUUUUCUAAGAUCACGUCAUUUGCCAACAGUGAUGAUUUGACUUCUCCUUUCCAAUUUGGAGGUCCGUUAUUUUUCUUGCCCAAUUUCUUUAGGUAGGCCUUCCAGUAUCAUGUUGACUAAAAUUUCAAAAAAUAAUUUGUGUGUAUUUUAUGUUUUAAAAAUUUGACAGGUAGAGUUAGAGAGAGAGAGAGAGAAAGUUCUUUCUUCCAUUGGUUCACUCCCCAAAUGGCCACUGUGGCUGGCACUGCGCGAAUCCAAAGCCAGGAGCCAGGCAAUUUCUCCUGGUCUCCCAUGCAGGUGCAGGGGCCCAAGCACUUGGGCCAUCCUCCAUUGCCCUCCUGGGCCACAGCAGAGAGCUGGACUGGAAGAGGACAACCGGGACUAGAACCAGCACUCAUAUGGGAUGCCAGCACCACAGGCGGACCACCGGCACCCCUUGUGUAUAUUUCACUGCCUUUUAGCAUUUAUCUGUAAUUUGCAAUGUCUAGAAAUAGAUUGUUAUUUCAAUGCAUAUUGUUAAUUUUUAAACUGAAAAUCUAUAAGGAGUUAUAGAAAUCAAAUUAUGAUAGAUAGAAUUAAAGAGGAGAGAAUUAUCCAACACAGGAAGUAGGCUACACAGCCGACUCAGAAUGACAAAUGCACUUAGCAGCAGUCUGACCUCAGAAUCAGCCCUUCAGGCAUUUGGAUCUGGCGGAAAAGCCCAUGAGAGCAUUUCAGGCAUGGGAAACCAAGAAACUGUUGCAAAAAAAUGAUCACAUGAAAGAUCUGUGAAUGAGAUCCCAGUGGAAAGAAGUGGCCAUCAAAGAAGGAGGUACUUUUUUCUGAAGAGAGGAGAGAACUUUCACUUUAUUUAUGACUCUGUCUAUGCACUGACAGAGUUUGUAGACUCAAAGGGCUUCCAUGGCCUUGGCAGCUCAUGACAAGAGUCUUGGGUGAUCACUGAUGUCAUAAAUAAGUGCAUCAAUUCUUAAAUCAACAACAGGAGUCACUGUACACUUACUCCCCAUGUAGGCCUUCUGUCCUUAAUGAGUUGUAAUAUGAGAAUUAAUGGUAACACUUGUUUCCAAAGAAUAUUUUAUAUUGUGUGUGGGGGGAGUGCAAACUGUUGAGAUCUUUACUUAGAGUUGGUCUUUGUAUAUAAAGAUAAUUAAAAAUGAAUCUUAAUGAAUAGUGGGAUGGGAGAGGGAUUAGGAGGUGGGACAGGAGUUGGGGGUGGGAGUAUGGCUAUGGGAGGAAGAACUGCUAUGUUUUCCUAAAACUUUACCUAUGAAAUUUGUAUUCAUUAAAUAAAAGCUUUCUAAAAAAAAACAUGUAAAACAAAAUCUCAGGGAGAAUUAUUGUAUAAGUUUUUAUGUAAACAUUAAAACAUUUUAUUAACAGUAAAAAAGAAAUCUAUAAUAAAAUAAUAAAAAUAAUAAAGAAGUCAUCCUCUGAAAGCUGAAGAAUGGCCAAUUCUGGUGGAGUCACCAGUCCAAGUUCAAAGAAUCAGGGGAACAUCACUGUGUAGGUUGUGGUCUGUGUGCAAAGGCUGAGUUGUAGGGGCAGGAUAAGAAGAAUGCCCUAUGUGUGUCUCUUUGUUGCAUUCAUAUGGCCAGUGUCCUCCUUCAGGAAGUGCCCAAAUAUAAUGCAGAAUGUCCUGCAAACCAGCCCCGAGACAUCUCAUCCUCUGUUGAUCACAGCGAACUUCUCAGUGACCACAGGCAGAGUCUGGAGCAGGGAAGACAGAGUGGCAGCAGUGGGGACCAGGGGCAUUUGGGCCAGUUCUCCCUGUAACUUGCUUGUGUCUCCAGGGUCUGCUCAGAGUGGAUGAGGAGUAUUCAGCUUGAUGAGAGCAUGUUGCUGUGCACACCCAGUGGCUUGCUGUGUCAGAUGACACCCAGUUCAUGAUGGGCCUUUGAGACAGAGCACCAAGUGGGCAGCCAACCUUUCUAUCUAUGGAAACUUGAAUCUCUCCUCUUGAUCACUGUCUUUCCCAAAAACCUUUUAGCUUUCCUCAUCAUUUUAUAAGGAAAAAUAUAUAUCUAGUGGACAUCAUGGAUGAAGGUCCUCCUAGUAUGUGAAAACUUGUCUUUGUGCAUGGCUUCUUUGGCAUGAAUUAUUUUUAUAUAUAAAAGACUUAUUUGUUUAUUUGAAAGGCAGAGUUGGGGGAGGGGGGACUUCCAUCUGCUGUUUCAUUUCCCAAAUUGCUGCAAUGGCCAGAGCUGGGUCUGUACAAAGCUAGGAUCCAGGAGCUUCAUGCAAGGCUCCAGGAACUUGGGGCAUAUUCUGCAGCUUUCCCUGGCUAUUUGUAGAGAGCUAGAUCAGAAGUAUAGCAGCUGGGACUUAAACCAGCACCCAUAUGGGAUGAUGCAACUGCAGGCAGUAGCUUUACCCAUUACACCACAGUGCUAGCCCCUGAAAAUUAUUUUUAAAGUGUACGAAUGGUGAUGCUUUAGUUGACAAUGGGAAUUUGAGAUAAUAUAAUAAUUGGUAGGCAGUGGAAGGUAUUUACUACUCCCUUUCCUUAGAUGUAAGUUCUAGCGGUGCUUUAGUAACACACACAAAUAUAAAAGCAGACUUUUAUGGAAAGUAGUUUUGGUUAACCUUGCCUAUAUAAAAUGAAAGAAUAAUAUUUUAAAAGGCUAACAAGCCAGUGAAAUAGUGAUCAUUCACAAAGACUUGCUGAUAUGGAUGAGGAAAUUCCAUUUUUCUCAGUACUCAGUUAUUUCAAGAUUGGAACAUAUAUUAGCUGAGGUGAAAUCAUUAACAACUAAAUUAAUUGUGUAAUUAAAUCUGGAAUUAAACACAAACUAUGUUUUAUUUAACUUUUCUCCAACUAGGAGACAUAAAUGUUAAAAUUAGCAUUUUGGAAAGUAUUAAAUUUACCUAUUAUUUGAUAGCAAAAACGAGGGAGAGGAGAGGGAAUGAGAGAGAGAGAAAGAGAUCAUCUGCUAAUUGAUUCACUCCUUAAAGACCAGCAACAACUGGGGCAGGGCCGGGCUGAAGCCAUGAGCUGGUUACUGCAUCUGAGUCUCCCAUGUGGGUGGCAGGGACUCAGGUACUUGAUCCAUGACCUGUUGCCUUCUAGGGUGCAUAUUGACAGGAAGCUGGAGUUGGAAGUAGAGCUAGGAGUCCAGUACAGAAUGGGGGCAUCUUUUUUUUUUAAUCUUUUUUUUUAACUUUUAUUUAGUAAAUAUAAAUUUCCAAAGUACAGUUUAUGGAAUAAAAUGCCCCCCCCAUAAUUUCCCUCUCACUCACACCCCUCCCAUUGCCCACUCCCUCUCCCAUUCCAUUCACAUCAAGAUUCAUUUUCAAUUAUCUUUAUAUACAGAAGAUCGAUUUAGUAUAUAUUAAAUAAAGAUUUCAUCAGUUUGCACUCACACAGAAACAAAAGUGCAAAAUACUGUUUCAGUACUAGUUAUAGCAUUACUUCAAAUUGGACAACACAUUUAGGACAGAUCCCACAUAAGAAGUAAGUACACAGUGACUCCUGUUGUUGACUUAACAAUUUGGCACUCUUGUUUAUAGUGUCAGAAAUCUCCCUAGGCUCUAGUCAUGAGUUUCCAAGGGUAUGGAAGCCUCUUGAGUUCAUGGACAUUGAUCUUAUUUAGAAACGGUCAUAGUCAAAGUGGAAGUCCUCCCCUCCCUUCAGAGAAAGGUACCUCCUUUGAUGGCUCAUUCUUUCUACAGGGAUCUCACUUGCAGAGAGAUUUCAGUUAGGUGUUUUUUGUUUUGUUUUGUUUUUGUUUUUUUGUUUUUUUUGCCAGUGUCUUGGCUUUCCAUGCCUAAAAUACUCUCAUGGGCUCUUCAGCCAGAUCUGAAUGCCUUAAGGGCUGAUUCUGAGGCCAGAGUGCUAUUUAGGUCUGCCUUUCUAUGAGGCUGCUGUGUAUCCUACUUUCCAUGUUGGAUCAUUCUCUCCCUUUUUUAUUCUAUCAGUUAGUAUUAGCAGACACUAGUCUUGUUUGUGUGAUCCCUUUGACUCUUAAACUUAUCAGUGUAAUCAAUUGUGAACUGAAAUUGAUCACUUGGACUAGUGAGAUGGCAUUGGUACAUGCCACCUUGAUGGGAUUGUAUUGGAAUCCCUGGCACGUUUCUAACUCCACCAUUUGGGGCAAGUCCGAUUGAGCAUGUCCCAAAUUGUACAUUUCCUCUCUUUUUUCCUGCUCUUAUAUUUAACAGGGAUUACGUUUCCAUUAAAAUUUAAACACCUAAGAAUAAUUUUGUUUUAAUUACAGAGUUCAACCAAUACUACUAGAACAAAAAAAUACUAAAAGGAAUAAAGUAUUACAUUGUACAUCAACAGUCAGAACAAGGGCUGAUCAAGUCACUGUUUCUCAUAGUGUCCAUUUCACUUCAACAGGUUUCCCCUGUAGUGCUCAGUUAGUUGUCGCUGAUCAGGGAGAACAUAUGAUGUUUGUCUCUUUGGGACUUGCUUAAUUCACUCAGCAUAAUGUUUUCCAGAUUCCUCCAUCUUGUUGCAAAUGACCAGAUUUCAGCAGACUGUUCAUCAUCUGAGAGCCAAAGACUAGGUCCAGUAAAAGCUACAAUCACAAGAGUCAAAUAGCACUGAAAAGUCAUUCCAAAGUGCUAUAGGCUUGCAACAGUGUGUCUUCUUCCUGGGAAUCUAAUAGUCCUUUUGAGAUGGGUUAGAAGCAGGAUUCACUCAAUCUAGCCCUUCCUGACCUGACCUGGAUGCAUUGCCAACUCCAGACCCAUCAGAAGCAAGCACUGUCCAGAACCUUUCUGUAAAAGACCCCUUGUGUGUUCAUACAUAAGCUCCCAUUAAACCUUGUCUGAGUUGCACAUUGGCCUCUUAUCAAUUUCCAUUACAAGGAAAUCAAAUAACUUGGGAUCAGUAUAACUUUUGGCCACAUGGAGCAUCUUGUCAGUCAUCUCAAACCCAAGAUUCUAUAUGCUGAGAACUUUUGUUUUAAUCUUAUUUUGAAACAAAUAUAAAAAUAAAAUUAAACAUGCACAA